rnacentral:rRNA from 1 species
UACGGAGGGGGCUAGCGUUGUUCGGAAUUACUGGGCGUAAAGCGCACGUAGGCGGCUUUGUAAGUUAGAGGUGAAAGUCCAGGGCUUAACCCUGGAAUUGCCUUUAAGACUGCAUCGCUAGAAUUGUGGAGAGGUAAGUGGAAUUCCGAGUGUAGAGGUGAAAUUCGUAGAUAUUCGGAAGAACACCAGUGGCGAAGGCGACUUACUGGACACAUAUUGACGCUGAGGUGCGAAAGCGUGGGGAGCAAACAGG